GAAGUGGCACACUUCCAGUGAGGUGCCGACCAAAAUCCACCGGUGGACCGAUAUGCUCGCUAUCUUGGGUUUUGCGUUUCAUUUCAGCGCCCAUGUCUUCACGUUAGAGCAGCCAUAUGGUCUGCGUGAGACGCGCGGUUCUCAGCAAAAUAGCUGUUUAUAGUCUCCCAUUAGACUAAUUCAAGUUAAAUGUGAAAUCAGCUGUAAAUGGAUGGUGGGCGAAAUGUUAACUGUGCUGGAUUUGGAUCACGUGUAUGGACUCACCUUUGACCACUCUCCACGCCAGGAGCAACGAGCUAGAAUUAAGAGCCAGCCGGUUUUAACCAAGAGGGAAGUAGUCAGGCGCAGGCUAAUCCAAUAUCACGGAGGCAUUCACGUUGGCCGUCAGUUGCACCUGGACAAGAUACAUUUCAAGUGGCCCCCUCUCCACCGAAGCUUUGUGGUUGUUCGCAUCGGUGUCUCCUUCGUCCUGGUGUUGGUGCCUUGCGGAGCGGGGACUGGCUCUAAAGUUCUCCUGGUGGUGGCCUCUCCUUGCCGGCAGACAGGCGUCUCCGGGUCCUGGGGCGGCUCCAGUGCAGCAGCCAUCCCACCGUCUUCUCACUGCGCCGACCACUGGGUGCCCACUCCAUCCACUGCUGCUGACUGUCACUCCUGGGCUAGGGGUGUGGAGAAGUGUCAUAGCAGGUGCCUUGGAGUGAUGCUUUUUAGAUGCUCCCCCAGCUCCAGCUAUUUUGGCCGCCCUCCCCAUACCUGAGCGUGGUCAUCUUUACAGCAACCGACACCAUGUAGCGAUCUCACAGAGUCAGCUUCCUCUUUUGGUGUUCUUUGUCAUUUAUUUAGCAUAGGCAAUUCAACACUGAUACUGACACCAGGAUGGCAUAGCAUUUAUAGGUGGGCACAACAACAGAGGGCAAGGGUGGCAGAGAUCACACAUGAGGGAAAAUGGCAUCAGGUUAUCAUAACAUUCACUGACUCUAAUCAUUAACAAAAUGACAGAUAAACUAAAACUAAAGAGAGUAAGCCACAUUUGAAAUGAAAACACUACACAUGAAUUAAACAAUUAAAUGCACUCAUCCACUCACUUGCACAGCAUUCUGCCACACACACUUCAAUCCGCACUUACCCGGAACAACAGACAAACACGGGCUCGCUACAUGUUAUGCUAUGUGUUUGUAUUCGCAUGAGGGGGGGAGAGUGAAAUCGGGUCUUGCAUGAAGGGUUACUUAUUUUGUUUUUAUACAGCAAUAAUGAUUUGUUUAAUUAUGUUUGCUUCACUGCUAUGUUGUGCACACAAAGUACACUUGAUUUGAAUGCUGUUGUUGCUUCUGAGACUUCUGUUUUUGGACUCAGUAACUGUUCAUACAUUUAACUUUAUUGUAAGCUGUGUAUAUAGUCUUAUAUAGUCUUAUAUGUUUAUAUUCUCUUCUCUUAAAUCAUCUGUAUCAAAGAUGCGUUUAAGUCUCUGAAACUGACCGGGGUAUGUUAUCUGUCUGUCCUAAGAAUGGUGUUACUCUCCGUUGGUUUUGGAAGUUUGUAAAUCACCACUGUGAUCUUUAAAGAUCUUUAGAUCAAGAAAAUGGAUUUCAGUUAGAGAAACGGUAGAGCUUCUGUCAGCAUUCAAGCUGGAAUACACAAAUGUUUCUUCCCAAAAUCUCAUAAACGAAUAAGAAUAAUAAGGUCCAAAGCACAGAUCCAUUGCUAAGCACACACUCAAAACACACACCCAUUGCUUUUUUUAGUUUAUUGUAUUUUUGUUAUAUGAUGUUUUGUUAUAUGUUGUAUAUGUAUGUCCCUCAUGGCACCAACAGGAGUUAUACAAUGACAAUAAAGGCUUUUUAUUCUAUUCUAGUCUAAACUCU
rnacentral:lncRNA from 1 species